CUCCCCUUUAUAGGUGAUUCGGGUGUAACCGUUGAGCACGUAGAGUCUCACUUUUUAUGGCACUAAAGAGUAGUUAACUCCUAUUAUCGGAUCAUGAUCAUUGGAUUAGUGGGUAGUUUAUGUCCACUAACAGUCAUGGUAUGCAGUCGUUACCCAUAAUUAUAGUGUCGUGAUUAUAGAUUAGGCAGUCGGCUAUUAGGCAGUCAUCGGUCAGCAUAUAUCGAAGUGAGUUCAGUUGAAGGAAGCGCUUAACACU
rnacentral:lncRNA from 1 species